CUGAGGCACUACUUAAAAAUUAAGUGUUAUUAUUUUAUAUUGGUUUGGGGUUAAAUUUUAUAAAAAAUUAAUAAGUUUUGUUUCUUAGUAUGAUGGAGAAUUUUGUUUAGAGAUUAUAGUUAAUAAGUACAGUGAUGGAAUUAUUUAAUAUUUUAUUAAAGUAGUGUUGGAUUUUCGUACCUUUUGUAUCAGGGGUCUACUAUAUAGUUGCGUUAUUUGUAAAUUCCCGAAACAGAGAGAGCUAAAUUUUAUUGCUUUUCUACGUUAUAAAGUAGUUUGAAAAAGUUUUUAGUGGUGAUAUGUUAGUCGGUCUUUGUAUAUCUGGUUCUUUACGAAAUGAGUUUAAUUUUGUACCAAGUUUAACUGUAAUUUGGUAAUAAAGGUAGGAGGAAUGAGCUUCUUAUCUGUUGUUUUUGUUAAGUACUUUUAUUGUAAGUCAUUAGAAGUGGGCUUAAAGUCAGCCAUCUUGGUAUAACGUUAAAGUAAUAAUGAUUUGUAUUUAUAUUUUUAAAGUAUCUUGCUGUUUUUAGUAAAGAAUUUCGUUUAUUGUUUAAGCGAAAGAUAGAAUGUUUAUAUAAGUAAAAUUAGAGUUUUUUUUUAAUCUUAAAUAAAAUAAAGUUUUUAAGUAUUAGAAGGCGUUUAGAAGGAACUCGGCAAAUAUUAUCUCCGCCUGUUUAUCAAAAACAUGUCUGUGUGUAUAAGUUAUAAAGUCUAGCCUGCCCACUGAUUGAUUUAAAGGGCCGCGGUAAUUUGACCGUGCGAAGGUAGCAUAGUCAGUAGUCUUUUAAUUGAAGGCUUGAAUGAAAGGUUGGACGAGGGAUGAGCUGUCUCCUUUAUGUAAUUUGAAUUUAACUUUUGAGUGAAAAGGCUCAAAUUAUUUAGUGGGACGAUAAGACCCUAUAAAACUUUAUAUAAGUUUAAUUUGGCUUACAAUUUGAGUGAAAAGUAGCUUUAUUAGGCUUAUAUUUCGUUGGGGAGAUGUAGAUAUAAUGUGUAACUGUCUAUUUAAUUUAAUAAUUAUAAUUAGUGUGUGAUCCUUCUUUGUGGAUUAAAAGUAUAAGUUACUUUAGGGAUAACAGCGUGAUUUUCUUUGAGAGUUCUUAUCGACAAGAGUAGUUGCGACCUCGAUGUUGAAUUAAAAUUUCAGUUAGGGGUGUAGCCGUCUAGCUGGUAGGUCUGUUCGACCUUUAAAAUUUUUACAUGAUUUGAGUUCAAACCGGUGUGAGCCAGGUUGGUUUCUAUCUUUUAUUAAUUUGAAAAUGGCUUUAGUACGAAAGGAUUGAGCUUUUGAGAUAGUCUUAUUUUAAGAUAAACUUUAAUGGAUUACCUUGGCAGAUAAAUGUGUCGGAUUUAGGAUCCGUUAAUAUAGUGAUUACUAUAGGUAAUAGGGAGAAUUCAAGUGUUCUUUCUAUGAUGAUUUUGAUUAAGUUGGUGACUUAUCUUAUUUUGAUUAUUUUAGUUUUGGUUUCUGUUGCCUUUUUUACCUUGUUGGAACGUAAAGUUUUAGGUUAUAUUCAAAUUCGUAAGGGUCCUAACAAGGUUGGAUAUGCUGGUUUACUUCAGCCUUUUGCUGACGCUGUGAAGUUAUUUACUAAAGAGCAGACUUUUCCUGCUAUAAGUAACUUUAUUCCUUAUUAUUUAUCUCCGGUUUUCGUUUUUUAGUUUAUCAUUGCUCUCGGUUUUUUGUUUAUGUCGUAUACCUUAUGAGCUUGGUUUGUUUUCUUUCGAGUUUGGGGUUUUAUUUUUUCUUUGCUGUACAAGGGCAAGAGUUUAUUCUACCAUGGGUGCAGGUUGAGCUUCCAAUUCUAAGUAUUCUCUUUUAGGGUGUCUUCGUGCUGUAGCUCAAACUAUUUCUUAUGAGGUAAGGUUGGCUUUAAUUUUACUUAGAAUAUUGUUUUUAGUAGGUGGGUUUGAUUUGGGAUUAUUUGAAAGCUAUCAGCGUUAUUGUUGAUUUUUUAUUUUGGGUUUUCCUUUGGCUUUACUGUGGUUUGCUUCCUGUUUAGCGGAAAGAAAUCGAACUCCAUUUGAUUUUGCAGAAGGAGAGUCUGAGUUGGUGUCUGGUUUUAAUACUGAAUAUAGAGGUGGGGGAUUUGCUCUUAUUUUUAUGGCGGAAUACGCUAGGAUUUUAUUUUUAAGUGCAUUAUUUUCAAUCAUUUUUUUAGGGAGAUGCCUUGUUUCUGUUGUUUUUUAUGUAAAAGUUAUGUUCGUGGGCUUCUGUUUUGUGUGAGUACGGGGCACUUUACCACGAUUCCGUUAUGAUAAGUUAAUGUAUUUGGCCUGGAAAAGAUUUCUUCCUGCGGCUUUAAAUUAUUGUAUUUUUU